GGCAUGCGCUUAUGGGGUUUAUAUUCUGCAGAAGUGUAUGCUAAUUUUGCAUGGAAGAAAAUAAACAAUAAAAACUGUCAAAAAGAGAGUUGAAGAGAGAAUUUCUCAACCAGAAAUUAACAGCGGCUGCUGAAGAGAUAUUUGGGGUCUUUGAAAAAACGAUAACAGAGUACCAGCUAGACAUUUUCCAUACAAAAGUGAAGAACGAACGUCUUUGUGGGCUGUUGAUGUUGCACAAAGCAGAUCUACAUGUGCAACUGUUUCUCCUUCCCUCCAGAGUCCGACUGCCAGCAGCAGGCUGAAGCUACUAUCACUUUGGUGCAGGUUGCCCCUGAGCAGCAGCAGUCAUAUACUCAAGAGUGGGGCCUCUGUCUAAGACAGGAGGACCCAGAGCCCACAGUGUAAAGAGGAAGAGGAUACCCACUGGAUCAGUGAGGUUGAAGAACACAUUCAAAAGCUGGAGUCUGAUUCCAAAGAAUAUCCAGACCAAGUAUCCACUUCUGAAGAUUCACAUUCCAAAUGGAGACAGAAGGGUCAGUAAAUGAAGCCAUCAAACUGAAAGUCAUUCUCAACGACAACAGAAUAGAGAAAGUGAUUCUGCCCUCUCAACCUGACUCACUGAAUGAGCUGAUAUCAACGCUCAAGGAGAAACUGCAUCUGCAGUUUGAUUUCAGUCUUCUUUAUGAAGACCCUGAUUUCAACAAUGAGCUCUUCAACUUAGAGACCAUUGAAGACUUGCCUUCUCCUAGGGCUACAGGGAAAGUUUUGCGAAUACGACGUGAUACAGACCUCGGUUUAACCGGAUUCUCAGCCACCGAGUUGCGGGAUGCCCCACCAGAGCGGUUAGGAAGAUGGCCUGAGGUAUUUGUCAUACCCACUUUCUAGAUGGAGGUUGAGUUUGCUCUGAGAGAGGGCAAUUGUGUAUAUCUGAGACAUGAAACGGUGCUGAAAAUAACAAGGGAUCAAAAACACAACAUUCUUCAUAGGAUGGCUUGGACAAUCUUCAAUUCCAAAGCGUACCCAAGUGACAGGCAGUUUGCCAAGGCAGCUGAGACCCUUGUAACCAAGCACCCGUGUUUGAAAGAGCCUGGCUCAAAAACAGGCUGUGAUGGCUGGAAGAACAUCCUGAAAUUCAAAAUGGGAAACUACAGGCAGAAGUUAUGCCGUGUUGGGUUCCCAGAGGUUGCUGUGAACGGGGGGAGGAGGAGCAAGCAUCGUCCUGACAAUGAGCAGCUCGGAGCAACAUUAAACAAGCGCGCCGGGCAGAGGUGAACUUCCUGCCCAACUUCCCUCAAGGAGAAGACGAGGCCAGCCUGGAGAAACAGAGACUGGAGAUGGUCCACGAGAUGACAAAAGAAAACUGAGACUUGCUGGGUCCCACAGUGGCACAUUGUAAACAGGAAGAGGAUACACACUGGAUCAGUGAGGUUGAAGAAUACAUUGAAAGGCUGAAGUCUGAUCCCAAAGACCCUGACCAAGUAUCCCCUUCUGAAGGUACAUGCUGAGUUUCAGAGAAUCACCAACCAGAGCCUGCAGCAGAUGUUCUACUCUGCCUUGGACCACCACACGCCCCUCCUGCUGACCCUGUUCAGGGAGAAGGAGGGGAAGUCUACCACCCAUGGAGGAAAUUCUCAAGCAUCCUGAGAGUAUACAAUGAGCAGUUCACUUCACAGGGAGAAAAUAACAUCACCGUGGCCCAUUCUGCAGUCCUGGCUGGUCUCCCUUUGUUGUUACGAGAGGAUAGUUCUGACGUCUUCAAAAUCGUCGAGUGGGAGAACUCAGCAGCCCUGGUAUUCUGGAGGGAGUUUCCAUUCUCUCAGUGGUGGGCUAUAGCACAAUGAGGUGGUGGGUGGUAUACCCAUCAGACUGGCCCAUCUAUCCAUUGUCCUUGAGGAUAAGAUCGUCAUGACUAACUCCCGCUCCUGGCCAGACGCUCUCGUGGUUGUUUUUGGGCUACUCUACUCCCUCCAUCUGAUCUACCCCAAAGCCCUGGGCAGUCGUGAGUUCAUGCAGAAAGUCUUCCUGAACCUCGACGAUGGAAAACUAAAGCCCAAGCGGCUAGCGCUGAAAUAUGAACUGUUGGCAUAAUUCUGUAGUGAUGAGAUGGAAUUUUACUUUGAGUGACCUAUAUGCCGAGCGAGUGGUUUGAAAACAAUGGUUAUUUUUGUUUGGUUUGCUUUUAUAUUUUUGUAUGUUUUUUUUGUGCAGGUAAUGGGAUUUGAUAUUGUAUUUCAAUUCACUUAUAACCCUUUUAUGUGAAAAGAAGACACAGGUCAGUCAACACAUUAACUUGCCACAUACAUGGUCAAUCUGCGACCCAGUUCUCUACCUUUGUUAUACAGCUGCAGAAAACCCCCAAAUGUUUUCUAGAAGAUUUCACCUUUGCAGACAUUCCGACUGGCACAAAAUACAUGUUGAUAAAAUGUUUAUUAAAGUGUCUUUACCUGC